CGAUCAGGUUGUUGGCGAGGUAAUGGCUCACCAAGCCUUUUACCGGUGCGGGCCGUGGGAGCGGGAGCCCGGAGAUGGGUACUGAGACAAGGACCCAGGCCCUACGGGGCGCAGCAGUCGCGAAAACUUUGCAAUAAGCGCAAGCUUGACAGGGCUAUCCCGAGUGCCAUCCGCUGAGGAAGGCUUUUACCCAGUCUAGAACGCUGGGGGAAUAAGGCGAGGGCAAGGCUGGUGUCAGCCGCCGCGGUAAUACCAGCUCCUCGAGUGGUCGGGGCGAUUAUUGGGCCUAAAGCACCCGUAGCCGGUUCCGUAAGUCCUCUGUUAAAUCCAACCGCCCAACGGUUGGGCCGCAGGGGAUACUGCGGGACUAGGAGGCGGGAGAGGCGGACGGUACUCCGCGUGUAGGGGUAAAAUCCUUUGAUCCGCGGAAGACCACCAGUGGCGAAGGCGGUCCGCCAGAACGCGCUCGACGGUGAGGGGUGAAAGCUGGGGGAGCGAACCGGAUUAGAUACCCGGGUAGUCCCAGCCGUAAACGAUGCGAGCUAGAUGAUUCGAUCGCAGUUCGCGAUCGAAGUGUCGCAGGGAAGCCGUUAAGCUCGCCGCCUGGGGAGUACGGUCGCAAGGCUGAAUCCAGGGGCUCGGAUAUUCCGGCCUCUGGCAGUUCACUUAAAGGAAUUGGCGGGGGAGCACCACAAGGGGUGAAGCCUGCGGUUCAAUUGGAGUCAACGCCAGGAAACUUACCAGGAGCGACAGCAGGUUGAGGGUCAAGCUGAAGACUUUACCUGACGAGCUGAGAGGAGGUGCAUGGCCGUCGCCAGCUCGUGCCGUGAGGCGUCCUGUUAAGUCAGGCAACGAGCGAGACCUCUGCCAGUAAUUGCUAGCCGGGAUAGCAA
rnacentral:rRNA from 1 species